CCGACUGAUUGACGUAUACAUCGGGUUUCUAACUCCGCCUUCCUCUUGCCCCUUAGCCAUGGAUCGCUUCAGGAGGAGACUCCAAGUGGAGGUGCCACAGGACAACGGCGGCAGCAGAGAUGGAAGCGGGGGAGCCGUCGAGAAGCCGAUGGAGGCGCAGAAUGAAGGGAUGCAGGGUGAUGAGCUGGAGAUCGCAGACGAGGAGCCGGGGCAGUUUGCGGGACUGAAGUUGCGGAGGAGGGCCGCGCUCGCCGGGAAUUGCAAGGGAGACUACGUCGGCGUAUCUUAUGAUCCCUUCCUUGAUAAGAUCUUGCGCAAACAAGGUGACAGAACAGUUCUAUUUGCGGAUAAGGUGAUCAAAGUCACUGGAUCCGGAAAGAUGAAGAAACAGAUUAUGCUGAUUACUGAUUUUGCUAUAUAUCUUGUUGACUCUGAUGCUGAUGCCUUGAAGAGGAGAAUAGCACUUGCAGCAGUUGAAAAGAUAUGUUCGAGCAAAUUCAGUGACAACUUUUUUGCACUGAUCAUUCCUACUGAGUAUGAUUGUCUAAUGGCUAGCACAAGAAAAACAGAGAUUGUGAAUGUCUUGAUUGAAGCCACCAAGGGUGCAACCGAGGAACUUGAAGUCGUUUUCUCCAACAGUCAUCCUAAAAAACAUUUGCAUAGCAAUUGCUGAGCCAUUAUAUCUUGUGGAAUUGCUCAAGCUCUAUCUCACAUAAACCUCAUGUCUGGGUAGAUCAAACGUCGGUGGGAAAAUCUAACUAAAGCUCUCUUUUUUUCCUUGUAAAAUUGAAUACAUAUUCUCUAAAUCAAUAGGCAUAUGUACUGUGUAAAAUUGACAAAAAAAAAUAUAUGGCUGUUUAUUUUUUCAACCAGAAAGAUGAAAACUGUGGAAAUUAUGCAAAACGCAGGUUUGAGUAUAAUGCUGCUGACGACGUAGUGAAAGAAAUCGAAUUUGUGGAAGUAGAAGGAGCCAUUGGAACAAGGAUCUCAAGGAAGGCUAUCCAAUGAUGCGAUCCUGCUUUGGCUUUUAUUGAAGAGCACCUUAUGUCGAGGUUCCAACUACCUUUUGGUUAUGAUGGCCAGAACUCUUGAUUCAUAACCUCAACAAUCAAUUCAAUCUUUGUUUUCCAUGUCUUUUUUCUUUUACUUGAGUUUAUUCGAGUUGAUGACA